CAUAGAUGCUUGGCUGAGAUGGGCUAAUAUUAAAAUGAAAGCACAUUGUCACACUCUUCCCACACCUCUGAGCAACAGACUGAACUAUACAUAAGAGACAGUACUCCCUAACAUCUGACUGAAGCACAUUGGCUUUUACUGUGCCAAGAGGAGGAUGGAAAUGGUAUCAACACCUUGCUUUAAAAACGCUGUGAGCAAAGAUUUUGGGGAAAAAAAAGAACAGAAGAAGGCAGCUUGUAUUUGGAACUCAAAUUGUGUUUUACACUGACAAUUUCAGUGCUCAUUCAAAGUGAAAACUUUAAAGAAAUCUAAUCUACUGACCAAUUUCACUAGCAUUUAAGAAGCAUUUUCAGGCCUUCUGCUGUUGAGUGGGAAGAUGAAGAUCUGCAAGAUUUUUUGUCAAGGACUUGGAAGUGGAGAUCAAAGGGAGGGAGAAGAAAAGAAUCUGAUUACAGAUCGAGUGUCCAAAACAGGAGCAUCCAGGAGUGAAAUAUUUCAUGGAGAACUGGACUUUACUAGUAAGACAUAUGCCAGUAUAACAUACCUGGGCUGAAACAACAAAGAGAGCAAUGCUGAAGGCUGGGAAUGCUUGAUGUAAGGGUGCAGAAAAGCCCUGUUGCACAAUCACCCCUGUGUCUGAAAACAGUGCUGCACUAACUCAAAGGAGGACAAGUCUUACAGGUCUCUUCUCUCUUGUUGAUUUAGAUUUUAAUAGCACUUUUACUGUGGGCAAUGAUUCUCACUGGAGUCUUUUCGGUUUUCUCCUGCAUGCAGUUCAAGAUACUUUAUGGUAAAAAUAAUAGUCAUAAAUAAAGUUAGAAGAGCCUGAGUUACAAGUGCAGGCAAUGGUUCAGAAAUAAUACACUUUGAACUAAUGUGUUCUAUGCAUAAAAGGGACUUCAAUACAUAGUCAUUAUUUUCCUGUAAUAUGGUUAAUAAUGUUAUCCUCUGUUAUCCCCUGUCAGAUGUUUGAAGAGCAAUGUAGGCAGGUGGAAAAUACAGGGACAAUAUAGUCUAGCUUUAGGGAUUAAUCUAAUACCUGAUUAUUAGGCUUUUAAAAGACAUCUGUCAACAAUACCAUGAUAAGACCUUUCUCUAAUUGUUUGUAUUGAGUAAUGCAACUGGGCCCUUUUUCUUAUGAAACAAAUCUUUCCCUUUCACAUCAAAUAGUUUAUCCUACAGGUUCCAUAAUAUUUUCCAUUCAUUGAUUCUGGAUGCCUUUUCAACUCAUUUCCAAAGUCUAAGGGUUUCAAAAUCCAAUACAUUUAUGUUUCUACCUGAUUAACAGCUGUUCUUGUAUAACUCAGAUACGUUUUUUUCCCCUGGAUUGUUUUCCCCUUAACUGUUCACCAUCAUUCUUUGUUAUUUAUCAUGCUAUGCUUACUUCCUAGAACUAGAAUGCAUUAUGGUCUCUUCUCUGCUUGAUAGCUCAAUAAGCUUGAUCCAGGUCACACAGUUUCCUACAGCUUUCAGAAACAUUGAUCCUGGUUUUCAUCAUUAAACUCAACUCAUCUGCUCAAUGUGAAGACAAUUGAUUAGACAUUUUUAAUGACUUCUUUAUCCUGAGUGAGUAUGAAUUUCCUGCUCUGCAUAAAGUGUGGGCUUCUUUUUCAGCGCUGCAUACUGAUCACUUCUCCAACUGAAGUCCAUUGUUGGUUAGCACCUUCAGAAGAUUGAAGUGCAUGAUAAAUAAAUAUAGAAACCCUCCUGAAUUAGAAGGCCAUUAAAAUUGUGAAGUCAGGCCCCCAAUAGCUGGAAAUAGAUAGUUAAGGCUGCAACGUCAACUGGCCCAGAUGUGAAUGCACAAAUAUUAUUCAAGAUACAAUGAGAAAAUGUUGUCACAAGAAAGACUUCAGCCACCUAACUGACAUUUUUGGCAACUCAGCCCCAUCCUCAGUCCUCAAAAACUGGUACUUAGAAUCUGAAGUGACUUCUGCUUUCAGUAUUAAACUUCUGCACAUGCUUAAAUGGAUUCUGGUCAUGUUCAGAAACACUGUAGGUACAUUUCCCUUCUAGAGACCUAUAGAUCUUAUACCUAAAUGUAUAUCACACUAGAUCUCACAGUUUUGCCUUAAUGCUGAUCAGAAGAUGCUAUUGGAAUUGAGUGUGGUUUGGGUUCUGUAGAAAGCAGUGUUUUGGGAAGCUGUGAUCUAAUGGCUUUUUGCUCAGAUCACUUAGAUUUAGAUGAGAAUUUGCUCUGGGAAGCAUGUGAUUUAAAAAAAAAAAAAAAAAGUUCCCUGUGACAGUGACCAUAACAAUGAAAAGGCACGGUACUGAGAAUUCUUAAAUGGUGUUAGGCUGUUUGUAGCCUCUGUUCUAGAAAUAGAUGAUGCUGAGAUAAUAAAAAUAAGGGAAGCAUUCAAUCGCACAGCUGUCAUGGAAAAUUACAACCCCAACAGAAUAAAUGUUAAGUAACAGGAAAUAUUGUGUUUUAAUAAGAAGCAGUACAAUGCAGCCUAUAUGUAAUCAUUGUUAUUAACUAGAAAU